rnacentral:rRNA from 1 species
AACCCUGCAUCCAGUUGCCAUCGGGCGAGCCGGGCGACUCUGGAGGGACUGCCGGGCGACAAGCCGGAGGAAGGUGGGGAUGACGUCAAGUCAUCAUGGCCCUUAUGUCCAGGGCGACACACGUGCUACAAUGGCCGGCGACAGCGGGAAGCGGAGGGGCGGACCCUGAGCGGAUCCCUUGAAAGCCGGUCCCAGUUCGGAUUGCAGUCUGCAACUCGACUGCAUGAAGUUGGAAUCGCUAGUAAUCGCGGAUCAGCCAAGCCGCGGUGAAUACGUUCCCGGGCCUU